rnacentral:misc_RNA from 1 species
GAAAUGCGAUACCUGGUGUGAAUUGCAGAAUCCCGCGAACCAUCGAGUCUUUGAACGCAAGUUGCGCCCGAGGCCACUCGGCCGAGGGCACGCCUGCCUGGGCGUCACGCCAAAACACGCUCCCAACCACUCUCAACGGGAAUCGGGAUGCGGCAUCUGGUCCCUCGUCUCUCAAGGGACGGUGGACCGAAGAUUGGGCUGCCGGUGUACCGCGCCGUACACAGCGCAUGGUGGGCGUCCCCGCUUUAUCAAUGCAGUGCAUCCGGCGCGCAGCUGGCAUU